UUACCCGAAACCGACACAGGUGGUCAGGUCGAGAAGACCAAGGCGCUUGAGAGAACUCUGGUGAAGGAACUAGGCAAAAUAGUACCGUAACUUCGGGAGAAGGUACGCUGUUGAGGGUUAAGGAUUUACUCCGUAAGCCUUCGGCAGCCUCAGAAACUAGGCCGCUGCAACUGUUUAUUAAAAACAUAGCACUCUGCAAACACGAAAGUGGACGUAUAGGGUGUGAUGCCUGCCCGGUGCUGGAAGGUUAAUUGAUGGGGUUAGCUAACGCGAAGCUCUUGAUCGAAGCCCCAGUAAACGGCGGCCGUAACUAUAACGGUCCUAAGGUAGCGAAAUUCCUUGUCGGGUAAGUUCCGACCUGCACGAAUGGCAUAAUGAUGGCGGCGCUGUCUCCACCAGAGACUCAGUGAAAUCGAAAUCGCGGUGAAGAUGCCGUGUACCCGCGGCUAGACGGAAAGACCCCGUGAACCUUUACUGCAGCUUUGCACUGAACUUUGAUCUUACCUGUGUAGGAUAGGUGGGAGGCUUUGAAGCUCGGACGCUAGUUCGAGUGGAGCCAUCCUUGAAAUACCACCCUGGUAAUAUUGAGGUUCUAACCCAGGUCCGUUAUCCGGAUCGGGGACAGUGUAUGGUGGGUAGUUUGACUGGGGCGGUCUCCUCCUAAAGAGUAACGGAGGAGUACGAAGGUGCGCUCAGCGUGGUCGGAAAUCACGCGUAGAGUAUAAAGGCAAAAGCGCGCUUAACUGCGAGACCGACAAGUCGAGCAGGUACGAAAGUAGGUCUUAGUGAUCCGGUGGUUCUGUAUGGAAGGGCCAUCGCUCAACGGAUAAAAGGUACUCUGGGGAUAACAGGCUGAUACCGCCCAAGAGUUCAUAUCGACGGCGGUGUUUGGCACCUCGAUGUCGGCUCAUCUCAUCCUGGGGCUGAAGCAGGUCCCAAGGGUAUGGCUGUUCGCCAUUUAAAGAGGUACGCGAGCUGGGUUUAGAACGUCGUGAGACAGUUCGGUCCCUAUCUACCGUGGGCGUUGGAGACUUGAGAGGAUCUGCUUCUAGUACGAGAGGACCGAAGUGGACGAACCUCUGGUGUUCCGGUUGUCACGCCAGUGGCACUGCCGGGUAGCUAUGUUCGGAAGGGAUAACCGCUGAAAGCAUCUAAGCGGGAAGCCUACCUCAAGAUGAGGUCUCCCUGAGGGUUUAACCCUCCUAAAGAGCCGUUAGAGACCAUGACGUUGAUAGGUUCGGUGUGGAAGUGCAGCGAUGCAUGAAGCUAACGAAUACUAA
rnacentral:rRNA from 1 species